rnacentral:rRNA from 1 species
GCCUCAGUAACGGCGAGUGAAGCGGCAACAGCUCAAAUUUGAAAUCUGGCUCUUUCAGGGUCCGAGUUGUAAUUUGUAGAAGAUGCUUUGAGUGUGGCUCCGGUCUAAGUUCCUUGGAACAGGACGUCAUAGAGGGUGAGAAUCCCGUACGUGACUGGGUGCCUCCGCUCAUGUAAAGCUCUUUCGACGAGUCGAGUUGUUUGGGAAUGCAGCUCAAAAUGGGUGGUAAAUUUCAUCUAAAGCUAAAUAUUGGCCAGAGACCGAUAGCGCACAAGUAGAGUGAUCGAAAGAUGAAAAGCACUUUGGAAAGAGAGUUAAACAGUACGUGAAAUUGUUGAAAGGGAAGCGCUUGCAACCAGACUUGCAUGCAGUUGAUCAUCCGAGCUUUUGCCCGGUGCACUCGAUUGUAUUCAGGCCAGCAUCGGUUUCGGUGGGCGGAUAAAGGCCUUGGGAAUGUAGCUUCUUUCGGGGAGUGUUAUAGCCCUCGGUGCAAUGCGCCCUAUCGGGACCGAGGACCGCGCUUCGGCUAGGAUGCUGGCGUAAUGGUUGUAAGCGACCCGUCUUGAAACACGGACCAAGGAGUCUAACAUCUAUGCGAGUGUUUGGGUGUCAAACCCAUACGCGUAAUGAAAGUGAACGGAGGUGAGAACCCUUAAGGGUGCAUCAUCGACCGAUCCUGAUGUCUUCGGAUGGAUUUGAGUAAGAGCAUAGCUGUUGGGACCCGAAAGAUGGUGAACUAUGCCUGAAUAGGGUGAAGCCAGAGGAAACUCUGGUGGAGGCUCGCAGCGGUUCUGACGUGCAAAUCGAUCGUCAAAUUUGGGUAUAGGGGCGAAAGACUAAUC